UGGGCAACCUGCCCCUCUCUCUGGGAUAACCCCGGGAAACCGGAGCUAAUACCGGAUACUCCGGCUGGAUCGCAUGGUCCGGCCGGGAAAGGUCCGCCGGAGAGGGAUGGGCCCGCGGCCUAUCAGCUAGUUGGUGGGUAAUGGCUCACCAAGGCGACGACGGGUAGCUGGUCUGAGAGGAUGGCCAGCCACAUUGGGACUGAGACACGGCCCAGACCUCCGUACGGGAGCA
rnacentral:rRNA from 1 species